rnacentral:rRNA from 1 species
CGGGUGAGUAACGCGUGGAUAAUCUUCCUCUAGGUGGGGAAUAACCAGUCGAAAGAUUGGCUAAUACCGCAUAAGACCACAAUGCCCUCGGGCAUAGGGGUUAAAGGAGCAAUUCGCCUGGAGAUGAGUCUGCGCCCGAUUAGCUAGUUGGUGAGGUAACGGCUCACCAAGGCGACGAUCGGUAGCCGGUCUGAGAGGACGGCCAGCCACACUGGGACUGAGACACGGCCCAG